CGUGGGAUCCUCUUCGGAGGCGNGCACACAGGUGCUGCAUGGCUGUCGUCAACUCGUGUCGUGAGAUGUUGGGUUAAGUCCCGCAACGAGCGCAACCCACGUCCUUAGUUGCCAUCAUUCAGUUGGGCCCUUUAGGGAGACUGCCGGUGAUAAACCGCGAGGAAGGUGUGGAUGACGUCAAGUCCUCAUGGCCCUUACGGGAUGGGCUACACACGUGCUACAAUGGCGGUGACAGUGGGNCGCGAACNCGCGAGNUUGAGCAAAUCCCCAAAAGCCGUCUCAGUUCGGAUUGCACUCUGCAACUCGGGUGCANGAAGNNGG
rnacentral:rRNA from 1 species